rnacentral:rRNA from 1 species
AACGAACGCUGGCGGCGUGCUUAAUACAUGCAAGUCGAACGUGAAUCCCGACUUCGGUUGGGAUGAAAGUGGCGAACGGGUGAGUAACACGUAAGUAAUCUGCCUUCAAGUUUGGGAUAACCCUGCCAACGCGGGGCUAAUACCGGAUGUGGUCCAGCUGACACAUGUUGGCUGGAUUAAAGGUCGCGAGGCCGCUUGGAGAUGAGCUUGCGGCCCAUUAGUUAGUUGGUGAGGUAACGGCCCACCAAGACGAAGAUGGGUAGCCGGCCUGAGAGGGUGUACGGCCACAUUGGGACUGAGAUACGGCCCAGACUCCUACGGGAGGCAGCAGUAGGGAAUUUUGCGCAAUGGACGGAAGUCUGACGCAGCAACGCCGCGUGAAGGAUGACGGCCUUCGGUUGGUAACGUUACUGUUGGUAUGGGAAAAAGAACCGUAAGGAAGUAAGGAAGUUAGUAUGGUACCGAUUCGAGUAAGACACCGGCUAACUAACGUGCCAGCAGCCGCGGUAAACGUACGUACUG